rnacentral:rRNA from 1 species
UACGUAGGGGGCAAGCGUUGUCCGGAAUCAUUGGGCGUAAAGCGCGUGUAGGCGGUUCGAUAAGUCUGCUGUGAAAGUCCAGGGCUCAACCCUGGGAUGCCGGUGGAUACUGUCGGGCUAGAGUGCGGAAGAGGCGAGUGGAAUUCCCGGUGUAGCGGUGAAAUGCGCAGAUAUCAGGAGGAACACCGGUGGCGAAGGCGGGUCUCUGGGCCGAUACUGACGCUGAGGAGCGAAAGCGUGGGGAGCGAACAGG